rnacentral:rRNA from 1 species
GACAGAGGGGGCAAGCGUUGCUCGGAAUUACUGGGCGUAAAGGGCGCGUAGGCGGCCACCGCAAGUCGACUGUGAAAUCUCCGGGCUUAACCCGGAAAGGUCAGCCGAUACUGCGGGGCUAGAGUGCAGAAGGGGCAACUGGAAUUCUCGGUGUAGCGGUGAAAUGCGUAGAUAUCGGGAGGAACACCUGUGGCGAAAGCGGCGCACUGGACCACAACUGACGCUGAGGCGCGAAAGCUAGGGGAGCAAACAGG